AGCAAGAGGACUGCGACCGUAGAAGCAAAGGGAGAGGACCGCACAACGAUAAUUCUGCGCAUGUGCACAGCGGGAGGAGGGCGAGAGUUGGAGUUUGCGCAUGCGCGAAAAUGUCGGGACAGCAAGAGAAGUGGGGGUUAAGAGGCGGUAGUGACAGCUGUGGAGGCAGCCCGCGUUCCCGGCAUGCCCCGGGGCGGCGGGGUUGGCUCUAACGAAUUUGAAUGAGGAGCCUCAGCGCUUUCGGCGCCAUUUUCGAGUGAUGCCUGAUCUCAUCAAUCUAGCGGGAGAGACAGGAUAACCUGUCCGAGUAUAGCGCCACUAUGACUCCGCCGGAAAAAUUACUUUAAAAAUCACCAAAAAUUACUUGGAGCAAAGGGCAGACGGCGGAGCUUCGCCAAGUCUGGCGCAGUCGGUUUUGACCUGUAGCAGAGAACCAAUUCUGGAGAACAACCUCACUUCUUUGAUUGAAUACUCACAUAAUGCAUUGGAACAUGACAUGAGAUGAAGGUUUAAUAAUGAUAGAAUGAAGACCAUAAUAAAAGAGAUCUCUACUUAGCUCAGCAAUUCUUACCUUUCUUACCUAUUUGAUGAAGAUGUCUUUUGAAAGGUGUACUGCAAGGAACAAAAUGUUUGUAAAUUCUGCUUUUACCAAGGUGGAUAAUUACUGUACCUUCCUCAUGGAAAAAGUUUUAUUUAAAGUGUUAUUUCUCAUUGAAUACUAUCAAAAAGGAAAAAAAAAAUGACCUAAACUUUUGAGAUAGAUUUGGCUCUAGUGUAAAUUUUGAUACCGUCAUUGCUGCCCUCCCCUCAAAAAAGGUGAGAACUGACUAAACUACUGGUACUUAGACCAUGUGCAGAAGGAACUGAAAAUGGAAACAGAAACACGUCUGUACAGAGCAGAGUGUCAGACAAUAGCUCACUUUAGUAGAGGGCAAUAAAUGCCACAUGAGAUGAUCACCUCAGCAGAAAACUGUAAGUAACGGGGACUUGCAGGAGAAUUGAACAGUUGUUUCUGCUGACUCAGUAAAAAUGUCUUCAUUUUAUAAUUUGUGGCCUGCAUGCUUGUAAAUUAAGAUGCAUUGAGUUGUCAAGUAAUGGACUUGUCUGGUUUGUAGGUAGGAAUUUAAGCCAAAAUUGAAUGCAACAUUCCCCCAAAAGUAACCUGGGAUCUGUGCUAUAAAGCCUAAGGCAAAGGUUACAUGAAUUUGGAUUACUAGGUUAGAAUUAGGCUAUUGAGCCUUUGCCUAGAAAACCAAUUAGAGGAUUUUAGUCUUGAUACAGCAGAGAAUAGGGAGGCAUUAUAGCCUAUUGAUUUGUUUGGAAUUAAAUGUGGCAAUACUAUAUAUAGAAAUGUCUAAGAAAUAAAGUAUGAUAGCAAGGAAACUGGGCAUGUGACUACUGUAGUAAUCUAGGGGUGAAGAAAACCUGAACAGCAAUAGUGGCAUGAGAAUGGAGGUGAAAGAAUAAAUUUAAGAUAUUUCAAAGGAAAAAAUUGUUGAAUAUCAUGAUGGGUUGAAUAAAAGGGAGGUGUAAAAGAUUAUACAUUUUCUGUAAUGGAAGACAAUGGAGUUAUCACUGAGAGAAAGGAGAUAGUUAAGAAACUAGUUUAAGGCUGGGUGCGGUGGCUCAUGCCUGUAAUCUUAACACUUGGGGAAGCAGAGGUGGGUGAAUCACUUGAGGUCAGGAGUUCAAGACCAGCCUGGCCAACAUGGUGAAACCCCACCUCUACUAAAAAUACAAAAAUCAGUCAGACGUGGUGGCUCAUGCCUGUAAUCCCAGCCACUCAGGAGACUGAGGCAGGAGAAUCGCUUGAAACUGGGCAGUGGAGACUGCAGUGAGCCAAGAUCAUGCCAUUGCACUCAAGCCUGGGUGAUAGAGUGACUCUGUCAAAAAAAAAAAAAAAGAAAAGAAACUAGUUUAAGAGGGGGAAAAUGUGUUCCAUUUCUG